AGAGUUUGAUCAUGGCUCAGAUUGAACGCUGGCGGCAGGCUUAACACAUGCAAGUCGAGCGGAGAUGAGGUGCUUGCACCUUAUCUUAGCGGCGGACGGGUGAGUAAUGCUUAGGAAUCUGCCUAUUAGUGGGGGACAACAUUCCGAAAGGAAUGCUAAUACCGCAUACGUCCUACGGGAGAAAGCAGGGGAUCUUCGGACCUUGCGCUAAUAGAUGAGCCUAAGUCGGAUUAGCUAGUUGGUGGGGUAAAGGCCUACCAAGGCGACGAUCUGUAGCGGGUCUGAGAGGAUGAUCCGCCACACUGGGACUGAGACACGGCCCAGACUCCUACGGGAGGCAGCAGUGGGGAAUAUUGGACAAUGGGGGGAACCCUGAUCCAGCCAUGCCGCGUGUGUGAAGAAGGCCUUAUGGUUGUAAAGCACUUUAAGCGAGGAGGAGGCUACUGAGACUAAUACUCUUGGAUAGUGGACGUUACUCGCAGAAUAAGCACCGGCUAACUCUGUGCCAGCAGCCGCGGUAAUACAGAGGGUGCGAGCGUUAAUCGGAUUUACUGGGCGUAAAGCGUGCGUAGGCGGCUUUUUAAGUCGGAUGUGAAAUCCCCGAGCUUAACUUGGGAAUUGCAUUCGAUACUGGGAAGCUAGAGUAUGGGAGAGGAUGGUAGAAUUCCAGGUGUAGCGGUGAAAUGCAUAGAGAUCUGGAGGAAUACCGAUGGCGAAGGCAGCCAUCUGGCCUAAUACUGACGCUGAGGUACGAAAGCAUGGGGAGCAAACAGGAUUAGAUACCCUGGUAGUCCAUGCCGUAAACGAUGUCUACUAGCCGUUGGGGCCUUUGAGGCUUUAGUGGCGCAGCUAACGCGAUAAGUAGACCGCC
rnacentral:rRNA from 1 species